GUCCAUGAUUGUAAUAGGAUCACGUAAUGAGCCUGCAGGUUGUUUCCUCAUUCACAUGCAUUAAAGUGGCACAUCAGUUUACAACUGAAAACAAACCAGUUAUGUUGCCAGGUUACCAAAGUUUCAUGCGCACCUUCCAGCCAAUCGGAAUCGGAGGAUUUUUCCACGGCCAUUGUGUGACAGUUAGUAAGAAGAUUUUGUGCAGGGAUGUACAGACUUAUAAAUUCAAUUUGACUAUUUGUUUCAGAUCUUUCGACCUGAUGUUGGUGCAGAAACAUCUGACACAGUAAUUCUGAGUGAACCAAGUAACACCUACUUGGUUCACUCAGGGCUUCGCAUGCACCGCAAAGUGACUCAGGGAGGUGGUUUUACAAAACAUGGAAACCUACACGCUGGAAAAUGAGUGCUCUGAGACCAGGACAGGAAAGGAGGAAGCUGAGUGAAAGAGGAG